rnacentral:lncRNA from 1 species
GCCGGACGCCCAGGGGAGGGGUGCAGCUGGUAGGGCCCGAACACACUGGUGGUAACCCGAGGACUAGGCGACUUGCCAAUUCUAAAGAACGCUGCUUUUCCUGUGCCCAGUUCCCUCACUCUUACUGGACUUGAACGAAUGAGAACAUCAUCGAGCACCAAAUAAUAAUGAUUUAAAAAUCAUGGGAACAAACAGUGAUAAAAAUGAUACUAUUUGUGGAGGAUCUGUGGGUCUGUUUUUUUUACAAGGAGUAUUUCAUUUGAUUCUCAUCUGAUUUUGUAAGGAAAUUACAAUUACUGUGUUUCUAGCCGGGCAAUGAUCUGCAGGACGUGAGAACUUGUUAGAAAUGCUAAUUCUCAGCCCAUCCAGCCUCCACUGACUUAUAUAUGCUGGGAGGCAAAGUCAAGCCCUUGGUGUUUAACAAGCCCUCCUUGGGGGGGCUGACGCAUGUUCAAGUUUGAGAACCACUGUUUUCAGUACUGCUUUAGAACACCAUCUGAGAGAUCUGCAGGGGAAGUGUGGUUGCCCAGAGAGGAGGAGGAAAGUGGCUGCUGCCAUUCAGGAGUGGUGGCCGUGUUAACAGAUGAGGGGAGAGAGGAUGCAGUGGGUGACACUAAUGAAAUCUUAGCCUCAGUCUUUGGCUCAGCUGCUGAAUUUGGAAAAAUUCAAACAUUUAUAAAAGAAAACAGAAUGGUAUUGUGGACUCCACAGACUUGUCACCCAGCUUCAACAAUGAUCAGCUCAGCGUCAAUCUUGGGUGUCUACUUUUCCCAACCUCCAUCCCUGUCAAUGGAGACACCAUACCAUUGCCUCUGUAAAUAUACUGGUAUGUAUCACAUCAUUAAAAGAUAAGCACUCCUUUAUAAAAUAUAAUCACAAAAAUAUCAUAAAUAUAUGUGUCCAAACCUGAAGGAAGUGCAAAACCCAGAGUGAACCAUGGACUUUGAGUGAUAAUGAAAUUUCCAUGUGGCUUCAUCAGUUGUGACAAAUGUACCACUCUGAUGGGGGUUGUUGGUGAUGGGGGACAGUGUGUAGGGGGGAAGGAGAUACACAGUCAAUCUAUGUUCAAUUUUGCUAUAAUCCUAAAACUAUUCUAAAAAGUCUUUACAAAUAGGACAUAACCACAAUACUGUUAUUAAACUCAACAAUAGUUCCUUG